AGAAAGUGGUGACUUCUCAGUUUGGAAAAUUUCCCCAUGGACAGAAUCAAAGUCCUUGGGUGUACAUGCCUCUAAUCAUUAAUAGAGCAACAUUGCAUGCAGGAGAGAAAGACUUGCCAUUUCCUGUAUCCUCAAAUCCGAUUACUUCAUCUUUACUGAUAUUGUAAAACAAAUUUGCUUUGAGCGAUGCUUCAUCCAUGCACAAAAUACAAUAUUUGUCGGUAGGAACUGCAAAGAUGCAUUUCUGAACGCGCAACUAUAACGAGAGAUGAGAACGACUGCAGUUGUGGAGGUUAGCGCGAAAUGUCAAAUGUUGAUAUACAAGGUGUCACAAAGAAAAUUUGGACACCUUGAACGAAAUAUAAGAUAUACUU